AUUGAACGCUGGCGGCACGCCUAACACAUGCAAGUCGAGCGGCAGCGAGACUAGUAGCAAUACUAGUUGUCGGCGAGCGGCGGACGGGUGAGUAACACGUAGGAAUCUGCCCUUAAGCGGGGGAUAACCAAGGGAAACUUUGGCUAAUACCGCAUAAUCUCGAGAGAGCAAAGCUGCCCGCAAGGGUGGCACUUGAGGAGGAGCCUGCGUCCGAUUAGCUAGUUGGUGGGGUAAUGGCCUACCAAGGCGAUGAUCGGUAACUGGUCUGAGAGGACGACCAGUCGCACGGGGACUGAGACACGGCCCAGACUCCUACGGGAGGCAGCAGUGGGGAAUAUUGGACAAUGGGGGCAACCCUGAUCCAGCGAUGCCGCGUGAGUGAAGAAGGCCUUCGGGUCGUAAAGCUCUUUAGGUUGGGAAGAAGGGUAUUGGCUGAAUAAUCCAGUACUUUGACGGUACCGACAGAAUAAGCACCGGCAAACUCUGUGCCAGCAGCCGCGGUAACAC
rnacentral:rRNA from 1 species